rnacentral:siRNA from 1 species
ACACAAGCACAUUAGAAAGAUGGU